AUGCAACUUCCAUUCGCGAGGGGGGGCUGUGUUGACACAUCAUACCAUGGGUUUCAUGAAUCACCAUAUCCAGAGAUUCGUCGACACAGCUUGUUGCCAGAUAAUCUUCAGUGUGUGAAAGGCAUCAAGCUUCCAUGCGAUGGAUGGCUUUUGCAAACCAGACAUGCGGCGAUGUGCACGACCCUCUUUUGUUGGAUAUUAUGUACUGUUGUUAGUUUGAAGCACUCCUCUGGUUUGAAGGAUAGAUACCUUCCUGGGAUCAAGUGCAUCCUAACUCACCUGCUACCAUAUAACUGGAAUUACCGAUGCAAGUCGAAGAAGGAUUCGCCGGUCCUGCCGGCUGGCGUCAAGUUCGAUCCCACGGAUCAGGAGCUGAUCGAGCACCUUGAGGCCAAAGUGAGUGCUGACAGCGCGAGAUUUCAGUCUCUCAUCGAUUUGUUCAUACCAACCAUCGACAGCGAGCAUGGCAUAUGCUACACCCAACCCGAGAAACUUCUAGCGCAAUUCCAGGGCGUUCAAAAGGGGCGUGUGGACGCGUCGCAAGAUACGGUGGGAGUGCGGCAUGCACGCGAUGUGGCACAAGACCGGCAAUACCUUGCCGGUGAUGGUCAAAGGCCGGCAAGACGGGCAGCAAAAAAGGUUCUGGUGCUGCACAGCAACAAGAACUUCGACCAGCAGAGGAACAACUGGGUGAUGCACCAGUACCACCUCGGGGACCUGGAGCAAGAGAAGGAGCGGGAGCUGGUCCUCUGGAAGAGUUUCUACCAGACGAAUACUAGGGCCAGGAGUAAAAAGAUUAUAAGUUAG
rnacentral:rRNA from 1 species